CUGCUAACGCGGGGGUCCUGCGCUGCACAUCGCAAUCUGUUCUACGGAUUGUCCGUGUGUCGCGGGUGAGAAAUACCCUUUGAACCUGAUCUGGAUAAUGCCAGCGCAGGGAAGCGUUCGGAUUUUGCCG
rnacentral:ncRNA from 2 species